rnacentral:lncRNA from 10 species
AUGCAGAACAAAUAGUUCCUUAAUGUUUCAAAGGAAAAAUAUUAUAAUUGCCUUUUAAGAUAAUGUAUGUAUUCUUUUCAUGUGGAAAUAUUUGAAUUAUCUUAGAAAGUUCUAGUUUAUUUGUCAGCACUUAGAUUUUUAAAAUGCUUUUUGAGUCUAAUGACUAAGUACGUAAGGUUUUAUGAUCAUGCUACUUAGUAUGUUUCGUAGACAAUUUUUCACCUUUUAACAUUUCUGAAAUUGGGAUGUGUCUUAUCUUUGUUCGCAUUUCAUGAUUCAAAGAAGUACAGUAGUGGGGAAAACCAAGCAUGAUGCUUGUGGCAAUGUCAUGUUGCUUCCUGAGUAAGAUGUUCAUGGGCUUCUGGGUCUUCGUGUCUGGCAUCAUUGACUCCGAGGCUCUUUGCUAGACCUGGCAACUCAGAGAUGUGGAAAGCGUGGACCACCUUGCUCAAGGGUCUCAUGAAUGAGUGGGGAAAUAGACAGAGGAUCAGUGAUUCAGUGACUCUGAUACAGCGUGAUGAGGGCUGUCAGAGCAAUGACAAGACUUAAUAAGGUUCAGAGAACCUAGGACACCUGCAUGAUUUGAAGAGGAGGUGAUCUUUGAGCUGCAUUGUAAAGGGUGAGUAGGAUAGCUCAUCUAAAGCUGAGAAGGUGCAGGAUGGGAGGGAGGAGGAGAAGACGUCCCAGAGCUAAUCCUGAGAGAGGCUGCUGGUGAAUGGAAAUGAAAUGAAAGUGACAUGUGGGGAAUUUAGUUGUGCAAGGCAGAUCACUGAAGUCUGUUUCUUCGAUGUUCAGGAUUGUGAUCAUAAUCUUUUGAGCUUCUGGAAGAUAUUAAUGCUGGUGAUUCUCAAGGUAGGAUUUGAAUUUUAGAAAGGUGACCCUUUAAGCAGUAGGAAUGGAAUGGAUUGGGGGUUGAGGGGAACAAAUUUGGAGGCAGGAGAAUGGUUAAUAGGUUGGAGCAUUGAAGCUGGAGACAUGAUGGGCCUUGAAUUAAGGCAGUGGUAGUGAAGAUGGAAAGGAGGGACAGGUGCUUAUGGUGCUUGGGAGGUUGAACUGACAGGUGGUCAUUUGCUGGAUGUGAGGUCGGGGAGAGGCCAGAGUUAAGGACGACUCCCAGACUCCUGCCUAGGGUGGACAUUGGUGCCAUUCAGCCAUCAAGACCGCAGGUGAGAAGGUGCAGGGUUGGGAGGAAAAUGAGUUUAGUUUUGGCAUUGCGGAGCUUGCGGUGCCCGAGAUUUGUAUGAACAGGAACAUGGGUUCAAAAUGUGAGAGAGGAUUGCUCUGGGGUGUGAUUUGGGAGCCAUCGGGGAGUCAGUGAGAUUGCUCAGAAAGAAUGUGGGAUAAGAUAAGAGGGCCAAGGACAGAGUCCUGGGUCACAUCCACUCACCCGGUGUGAGCAGGGAGAGAUGCAGUCUAUGGAAGCUAAAGAGGUUUUAAGAGGGAGUGAGUGGGCCGGGCGUGCAUGAGCCACUGUGCCCAGCCUAGAUAAUGUU